rnacentral:rRNA from 1 species
AGCGAACGCUGGCGGCAGGCCUAACACAUGCAAGUCGAACGAACCUUUCGGGGUUAGUGGCGGACGGGUGAGUAACACGUGGGAACGUGCCUUUAGGUUCGGAAUAACUCAGGGAAACGUGUGCUAAUACCGAAUGUGCCCUUCGGGGGCAAGAUUUAUCGCCUUUAGAGCGGCCCGCGUCUGAUUAGCUAGUUGGUUGAGGUAAUGGCUCACCAAGGCGACGAUCAGUAGCUGGUCUGAGAGGAUGAUCAGCCACAUUGGGACUGAGACACGGCCCAAACUCCUACGGGAGGCAGCAGUGGGGAAUCUUGCGCAAUGGGCGAAAGGCUGACGCAGCCAUGCCGCGUGAAUGAUGAAGGUCUUAGGAUUGUAAAAUUCUUUAACCGGGGACGAUAAUGACGGUACCCGGAGAAGAAGCCCCGGCUAACUUCGUG